rnacentral:rRNA from 1 species
GCAAUCAUACCAGCACUAAUGCACCGGAUCCCAUCAGAACUCCGCAGG